GACAGAGGGUGCAAACGUUGUUCGGAUUUACUGGGCGUAAAGCGUGUGUAGGCGGCUUGGCAAGUUGGAUGUGAAAUCCCGCGGCUCAACCGUGGACGUGCAUCCAAAACUGCUUCGCUAGAGUCUCGGAGAGGAAGGUGGAAUGCUUGGUGUAGAGGUGAAAUUCGUAGAUAUCAAGCAGAACACCUGCGGCGAAGGCGGCCUUCUGGACGAUGACUGACGCUGAGACGCGAAGGCGUGGGGAGCGAACGGG
rnacentral:rRNA from 1 species